rnacentral:rRNA from 1 species
GACGAAGGAUGCAAGCGUUAUCCGGAUUCAUUGGGUUUAAAGGGAGCGUAGGUGGCCUUAUAAGUCAGUGGUGAAAUCUCUGGGCUUAACCCAGAAAUUGCCAUUGAUACUGUAGGGCUUGAGUACAGCUGCUGUGGGCGGAAUAUGACAUGUAGUGGUGAAAUACAUAGAGAUGUCAUAGAACACCGAUUGCGAAGGCAGCUCACAAAACUGUAACUGACACUGAGGCUCGAAAGUGCGGGGAUCAAACAGG